UUGGAGGGCAAGUCUGGUGCCAGCAGCCGCGGUAAUUCCAGCUCCAAUAGCGUAUAUUAAAGUUGUUGCAGUUAAAAAGCUCGUAGUUGAAUUUCGGGAUCAGAGUGUCGGUCGUGCCUCGGUACGCACUGGUAUUAUUGGUUCCUACCUUCUGAAGAACCGCGAUGUCAUUAAUUUGGUGUCGUGGGGAAUCAGGACUGUUACUUUGAAAAAAUUAGAGUGUUUAAAGCAGGCUUACGCUUGAAUACAUUAGCAUGGAAUAAUGAAAUAGGACGUUUGAUUCUAUUUUGUUGGUUUCUAGGAUUGACGUAAUGAUUAAUAGGGAUAGUUGGGGGCAUUAGUAUUCAAUUGUCAGAGGUGAAAUUCUUGGAUUUAUUGAAGACUAACUACUGCGAAAGCAUUUGCCAAGGAUGUUUUCAUUAAUCAAGAACGAAAGUUAAGGGAUCGAAGACGAUCUGAUACCGUCGUAGUCUUAACCAUAAACCAUGCCGACUAGGGAUCGGAUGAUGUUAAUUUUUUUAUUGACUCAUUCGGAGUCUUACGGGAAAC
rnacentral:rRNA from 1 species